rnacentral:rRNA from 1 species
UACGGGGGGGGCAAGCGUUGUUCGGAAUUACUGGGCGUAAAGGGCUCGUAGGCGGCCAACUAAGUCAGACGUGAAAUCCCUCGGCUUAACCGGGGAACUGCGUCUGAUACUGGAUGGCUGGAGUUUGGGAGAGGGAUGCGGAAUUCCAGGUGUAGCGGUGAAAUGCGUAGAUAUCUGGAGGAACACCGGUGGCGAAGGCGGCGUUCUGGACUGCAACUGACACUGAGAAACGAAAGCCAGGGUAGCAAACGGG